CCGGUAGAAUCGCGCGGUCAUUGGGGAGUAGUCGCCCUCUACCCAGAGGGGCUUGCGUCAACAUACUUGACCGAUUGGUCAUGGCGCAAGCGGUUUCCUAGCUUGGCGAGACCUUUGACCAUAUCGCCUUCGGACUGGCCGGAGAAGCGGUGUGGUCAUUUGUCUUCUUCCGGCCAGGGAGCACC
rnacentral:sRNA from 15 species